GCUGCUGUAGCUCAGAUGGUAGAGCGCGUCCUUGGUAAGGACGAGGUUCACGGGUUCAAUCCCCGUCAGCAGCU
rnacentral:tRNA from 1 species